AACGAACGCUGGCGGCAUGCCUAACACAUGCAAGUCGAACGAGACCUUCGGGUCUAGUGGCGCACGGGUGCGUAACGCGUGGGAACCUGCCCUUAGGUUCGGAAUAACUCCCCGAAAGGGGUGCUAAUACCGGAUAAUGUCUUCGGACCAAAGAUUUAUCGCCUUUGGAUGGGCCCGCGUUGGAUUAGCUAGUUGGUAGGGUAAAAGCCUACCAAGGCGACGAUCCAUAGCUGGUCUGAGACGAUGAUCAGCCACACUGGGACUGAGACACGGCCCAGACUCCUACGGGAGGCAGCAGUGGGGAAUAUUGGACAAUGGGCGAAAGCCUGAUCCAGCAAUGCCGCGUGAGUGAUGAAGGCCUUAGGGUUGUAAAGCUCUUUUACCCGGGAUGAUAAUGACAGUACCGGGAGAAUAAGCGCCGGCUAACUCCGUG
rnacentral:rRNA from 1 species